AUACUUACCUGGACGGAUCUAUGGCUGAUCAAGAAGAGCCAUGGCCUAGGUCAGUGGCCUCCAUUAUUGCACUUGGGAGGAGCACUGGCUUACAUUCUUUUCAAGCAGGAGAGUGGAUGUCAUAAUUUAUAGAAGAGGGGUACGCGUUUGCACAGCCUCUAC